AUAAAAGUUAACCCAAGACAGUAGGUGGAUUAAUCCAUAAAUCCUACCGAGGUUAGAAAUAAUAUGAACGGUUUAAGUUUUUGUUAUUCUACCUUGGUAGGUAACAAAAACUUUUUUAUGUU
rnacentral:sRNA from 1 species